GACGAACCGUGCGAACGUUGUUCGGAAUCACUGGGCUUAAAGGGCGCGUAGGCGGGCUUGCAAGUCUGUGGUGAAAUCCUCCAGCCCAACUGGAGAACGGCCGUGGAUACUGCGAGUCUCGAGGGAGGUAGGGGCGUGCGGAACAGAUGGUGGAGCGGUGAAAUGCGUUGAUAUCAUCUGGAACUCCGGUGGCGAAGGCGGCACGCUGGACCUCAUCUGACGCUGAGGCGCGAAAGCUAGGGGAGCAAACGGG
rnacentral:ncRNA from 2 species